rnacentral:hammerhead_ribozyme from 1 species
GCACUGCUGACGAGUCUCAAACAGGACGAAACAGCUGUCCAAUGC